rnacentral:rRNA from 1 species
CGCACGGGUGAGUAACGCGUAUGCGACCUGCCCGUUGCAGGGGGGAUAAUCGGGAGAAAUCCCGUCUAAUACCGCGUAACGCCGCGGGGCUGCAUGGCCCUGCGGCCAAAGGGAGCGAUUCCGGCAACGGAUGGGCAUGCGUGACAUUAGCUAGUUGGUGGGGCAACGGCCCACCAAGGCGACGAUGUCUAGGGGUUCUGAGAGGAAGGUCCCCCACACUGGUACUGAGACACGGACCAGACUCCUACGGGAGGCAGCAG